AUGGUCACUCAGGGUCACUCAGGGGUCACUCAGGGGUCAGGGGUCACUCGGGGUCAGGGGUCAGGGUACCGGUUCUGCUCCAGCAGCGCCCGCAGCACCCCGGGGUCCCUCAGGGUCAGUCAGGGUCAGUCAGGGGUCACUCAGGGGUCAGUUAGGGGUCAGGGGUCACUCAAGGGUCAGGGGUCACGGUACCGGUUCUGCUCCAGCAGCGCCCGCAGCACCCCGGGGUCCCUCAGGGUCACUCAGGGUCACUCAGGGGUCAGGGGUCACUCAGGUGUCACUCAGGGGUCACUCAGGGGUCAGGGGUCACUCAGGGGUCAGGGGUCACGGUACCGGUUCUGCUCCAGCAGCGCCCGCAGCACCCCGGGGUCCCUCAGGGUGACGUCGCUGUCCAGGCUCAGGUACCCAUCGCAGCGGGGGUCCCGCCGGCACAGCGCCCUGCGCCCCAAAAAUGGGGAUGGGACCCCCAAAAACCCCAGAAAUGGGUCAGGGACCCCCGAAAAUGGGUCAGGGACCCCAAAAACGGGUCAAGGACCCCCAAAAUGGGUCAGGGACCCCAAAAAUGGGUCAGGGACACCAAAAACGGGUCAGGGACCCCCAAAAUGGGUCAGGGGCACCCAAAAAUGGGUCAGGGACCCCCGAAAAUGGGUCAGGGACCCCAAAAAUGGGGAUGGGACCCCCAAAAAUGGGUCAGGGACCCCAAAAAUGGGUCAGGGACUGCAAAAUAUGGGUCAGGGACCCCCAGAAAUGGGUCAGGGGAAUCCAAAAAUGGGUCAGGGACCCCAAAAAUGGGGAUGGGACCCCAAAAAUGGGUCAGGGACCCCCAAAAAUGGGUCAGGGACACCAAAAACGGGUCAGGGACCCCAAAAUGGGUCAGGGGAACACAAAAAUGGGUCAGGGACCCCCAAAAAUGGGUCCGGGACCCCAAAAAUGGGUCAUGGACCCCCGGAAAUGGGUCAGGGACACCCCCAAAACCCCAAAAAUGGGUCAGGGACCCCCCCCAAAAACCCCAAAAAUGGGUCAGGGACCCCCAAAAAUGGGUCAGGGACCCCCCAAAACCCCCAAAAAUGGGUCAGGGACCCCCAAAAAUCAUCACUGACCGUCCCCUUGGCUCCGCCCCCUCCCCUUUAG
rnacentral:lncRNA from 1 species